CUGGGGCUAUAGCUCAGUUGGUAGGGUGCUUGCUUUGCAUGCACAAGACCCUGGGUUCAAUUCCCAGCACCAGA
rnacentral:tRNA from 1 species